GUGGGGGGCGUCUAUUUUGGAACAAAUCAUUGUGUGGGCUGCGGAGGCCAUAAGGGCUGCUACCACCCCCGUGCAAGGGGUUUCUGCCCAAGCCCCCGAUGGAGGCAGGAGUGGCACUACCUUCACCGUCCGCAGCCCCUGCCCAUCCUCCCGGUUCCCAUCCAAGUCCCAGGGAGGUCUCAGUCAAGAAUCUAGAAAAGCAGAGGGAAAAUUAUUUUUCCUCUCCUACAGAACAAAUGUUGUUCCUGGCCUUCAGAUGUGGAGAACCCUGGGCCUGGGACCUGUCCCACCUUGACUGACAAGAUGUUAUUAUUAUUUUCAGAGGAGCAGAUGAGGACUCAGUGUGAAAUAUGAGUGCACGAGUAAGAUCAAGAUCUAGAGGAAAGGGAGAUGGAAAAAAGUCUUCUAAGCAGGAAGAACCUGUGGUUGCUAAACAACCAGGUGAAAAAACAUCACAACAAAAGGAACUACCAACUGAGAAUCCAGAUAUUGAGACUGGGCAAGAGAAAGAAGGAGCACCUGUGGCUCAAGAACCUGAACUGGACAGUGAAACCCAGGGAAUGGGUCUGGAAGAGACUGGAGCUGAGCAUGUAGAUUGCCCUGAGGUGAAAAAGGAAGACUCCACCUAAUCCAGCACCUGCUAAAAUUCCAGAAGCAUGUGAUGAACAGUCAUAUGUUCAAAAGAAGACAAGCUGAAGACAUACAUAUGCUUUGUUAUGUUGAUAAUUUGGCUUAAGUUCUCUCAAUAAAGCCUUAAUAAAGUUUGCUCAGAAGAAGUCAUGCA